GACGAACGCUGGCGGCGUGCUUAACACAUGCAAGUCGAACGGAAAGGCCUGCUUUCCCUUGUGGAUUGCGGGUACUCGAGUGGCGAACGGGUGAGUAACACGUGAGUGAUCUGCCCCCAACUUGGGUAUAAGCCUGGGAAACUGGGUCUAAUUCCCGAUAGGGCUGCAGGGUGGUGCCUGUGGUGGAAAACGAUUUUCUAGUGGUUGGGGAUGAGCUGGCGGCCUAUCAGCUUGUUGGUGGGGGAAUGGCCUACCAAGGCGGCGACGGGUAGCCGGCCUGGGAGGGUGGACGGCCACAUGGGGACUGAGAUACGGCCCAGAGUCCUACGGGAGGCAGCAGUGGGGAAUAUUGCACAAGGGGCGGAAGCCUGAUGCAGCGACGCCGCGGGGGGGAUGACGGCCUUCGGGUUGUAAACUCCUUUCGACCGCGAGGAAGCCACCUGGUUGGAAGGGUGGUGACGGUAGUGGGAGAAGAAGCACCGGCUAACUACGUG
rnacentral:rRNA from 1 species